rnacentral:rRNA from 1 species
GACGAACGCUGGCGGCGUGCUUAACACAUGCAAGUCGAGCGGUAAGGCCCUUUCGGGGGUACACGAGCGGCGAACGGGUGAGUAACACGUGGGUGACCUGCCUUUAGCUCUGGGAUAAGCCUGGGAAACCGGGUCUAAUACCGGAUAUGACUCCAUGACGCAUGUUGUGGGGUGGAAAGCCUUGUGCGGCUAGGGAUGGGCCCGCGGCCUAUCAGCUUGUUGGUGGGGUGAUGGCCUACCAAGGCGACGACGGGUAGCCGGCCUGAGAGGGCGACCGGCCACACUGGGACUGAGACACGGCCCAGACUCCUACGGGAGGCAGCAGUGGGGAAUCUUGCGCAAUGGGCGAAAGCCUGACGCAGCGACGCCGCGUGAGGGAUGACGGCCU